UAAGUUCUUCGGGGCAAGGUGUAAUUCCUUACCGGCGGUCAAAGUCCGCGACCCAUGAAAAUGGUUGAUCUGGUGAAAUUCCAGAACCGACAGUAUAGUCUGGAUGGUAGAAGAAAAAA
rfam:Firmicutes bacterium CAG:536 genomic scaffold, scf122